GCUUUUUGGAUCCACCACCACCACGCAAUUGUGACAACAGAUCUCAAGAACUACAACACUAACGUGGGAUGGACAGUGAGCGAGUGAGGCUAACCCUACAACUGCUUGGAGAUGCGUCGGGUGAGUCAGAUGACUGCAAUAAUGAUGUGACAAGAACACACAAGGCGCGUUUCAAGUGUUGAUUUUGCUGAUUAUCUGGAUGGCUGACGGAUAUUUAAAAAGACGCUUGAGGACAAAGGGCGGGCGCAUCUUUCAAGGAUCGUCUUCAAAAUUGGAAAGCGGAAAGUGAGGGUUUAAACACGAUAUAAAUAAGUGCUGCUUUCAGAAAAAAGUGACAAAUUAGACGUCAUUUUCAUUGAACACGACAAACCGAAAACUUCAAGUCAACAAGGCGGCUCGUGUUGAACAACACAAUGAAGUCGGCGCUCUUCGCUGUGAGCCUUUUGCUGCUCCUCGCAGUCGGCACCAGCGAUAUUUUCAGUGGUCGCCCCCCAAUCGUUCGUCAGUUAAGGCUGGCCGAUCCUGGUGAAGAUGAUUCCGGUCUGACUGUUCAGCCUGGUCUGAUUGAUCCUCAUGGCAGCAGAAUCAUUCGCCGCGUUCGUAAUUGAGAGUAUCGCAGAGCAGUCAUACUCCAGAAAUAUAAAUGCUCAGUCAGAUCACAAUCAAAAUAGUUUUUUUUUUGAUUCAGUCGUGUCUUGCACAUUAGUCUGAUCGUAUAUUUAA